AAUAAGUGCAGUUUUACACUAUUUAUCUUCAACGUUUGACCGUUCGUCUUAUUUGAAAUUUUUUUAUGAUUAUUAUUUUUAUUGUUAUUAGAUGAUAAAACAUGAAUAGUACUUUAUGUGUGACUAAUUUUUUUUUAAAAAAUUAAAUCAAAUGGACGGUCAAACGUUGGACACGGAUUUCCACGACUGCACUUAUU
rfam:Oryza nivara chromosome 1, whole genome shotgun sequence.